AAGCCUGAUGCAGCGACGCCGCGUGAGGGAUGACGGCCUUCGGGUUGUAAACCUCUUUCACCAGGGACGAAGCGCAAGUGACGGUACCUGGAGAAGAAGCACCGGCCAACUACGUGCCAGCAGCCGCGGUAAUACGUAGGGUGCGAGCGUUGUCCGGAAUUACUGGGCGUAAAGAGCUCCUAGGCGGUUUGUCGCGUCGUCUGUGAAAUUCUUCAACUCAAUUGGAGGCUUGCAGGCGAUACGGGCAGACUUGAGUACUACAGGGGAGACUGGAAUUCCUGGUGUAGCGGUGAAAUGCGCAGAUAUCAGGAGGAACACCGGUGGCGAAGGCGGGUCUCUGGGUAGUAACUGACGCUGAGGAGCGAAAGCGUGGGUAGCGAACAGGAUUAGAUACCCUGGUAGUCCACGCCGUAAACGGUGGGUACUAGGUGUGGGGCUCAUUUCACGAGUUCCGUGCCGUAGCUAACGCAUUAAGUACCCCGCCUGGGGAGUACGGCCGCAAGGCUAAAACUCAAAGGAAUUGACGGG
rnacentral:rRNA from 1 species